UACAGAGGGUGCGAGCGUUAAUCGGAAUUACUGGGCGUAAAGCGCGCGUAGGCGGCUUUGCAAGUCGGGUGUGAAAUCCCCAGGCUUAACCUGGGAACUGCAUUCGAGACUGCAUUGCUAGAGUAUGGGAGAGGGAAGUGGAAUUUCCGGUGUAGCGGUGAAAUGCGUAGAUAUCGGAAGGAACAUCAGUGGCGAAGGCGGGUUGCUGGGCCGACACUGACGCUGAGGCGCGAAAGCCAGGGGAGCGAACGGG
rnacentral:rRNA from 1 species